rfam:Angiostrongylus cantonensis strain Taiwan genome assembly, scaffold: ACAC_contig0004480
GAGCAAAGAUGAAUGCGUGUGUUCGCUUCUGACACCUCUUAUGUUAGCAGUCAUUUCCGGGCUGCAGUGAUUCGGAUAAUGUUCUGAGCUC